GCUUCGUACUUGGGAGCGUAUUCGGCUGACCUGUAAGAAUCGGCGGCAGCGACAGCGAAAAGGGCGGCGAGGAUGAAGAACUAAUAAAAUAUGGAACAUUUGACGCCAUGUAAAAGUUAUUGAAUUGUAUCUGCGUUUUGAACUUGUGGUAAUCCUAUCCAUUCCGAGUGGUUCUGGCCCUUCAGUUUCCGCAGGACAAAAGAAUUCCUUGCUGUUCAAAAACAUCCACGUUCGGUGGUUUAAAUUCAGUAUCGUUUCCUGUGUAUGUUUCUAUUGUACCUGAUUUUGGAGCUAACUUGGUGAGCCCGUUCUGCAUCAUCAAAGAUUUGGGAUCAUCAUCGCGGGUAAACGAUUUAGGAACUGCAGAGUCUGCGAUUUGUAUGCCGGAGCUUCGUACUUGGGAGCGUAUUCGGCUGACCUGUAAGAAUCGGCGGCAGCGACAGCGAAAAGGGCGGCGAGGAUGAUGAACUAAUAAAAUAGGAACAUUUGACGCCAUGUAAAAGGCUUAUGUAAGAAUCUCAGAAAUGAACUUCGGAACGUGGGGCCAACUAUUAACCGCUUCGUCUUCGUCACCGAAGAUAUAGGUCUACAACUCUCCAUGACGUCCAUGCCCAUCUCCACAUCCAACUCUUUCAUGUCGUCCAUGUGUUGCUUUCAUUGCCCGUUUUACUCACUACCUGGUGCAAAACAAAAUAAUGGGUCCUCGGGUCACCUCAGCACAUGCACUUUCAUAGGCACUUCCAUGCCGAAUCGAUGACCACGAAGCGCUUCACGCUAAAGGCCAGCACAUUUUUCUGAAUUGUGUAUCCAUAUUCUGAAUGCAGUUUUUUUCCAUUGUCGUCGUUUUUCCGUGAACCAAGUAAUCGAUUUUUUUUUAACUUUUUGGGUAUCUAUGUAGUUAUCGAUUUCUAUCUGCGUAUUGAACUUAUGGUGAUCCAAUCCAUCCCAAUCGGUUCCGGCCAUCCAAUUUUCGCAAGGAAGAAGAAUUCCUUUUUAUUUUAAAACAGAACCGAGAAUCCAGGAAUAUUUUAGCGCUUCCAUAAUUAAAAUAUUUAUGGUAGUACUUUGAUCGAAUUGAAUUUUUGUAUUAAAUAAUAAGUUUAGAUACACACAUUUCAGCGGUUUCAA
rnacentral:lncRNA from 1 species